GACCAAAAUCUUCCAUUCCUCCCACGAGGAAACUAGGCCAGGCCGAGGUUUCAGGGAGCUCCUAGCCUGGGCCAAGGCCCAUGGUUGCAGUGCGAAGUGGCCAGCGGUUGGCAAGGAGGGGCUCUGCUUCCUUCGCCAGCCAAUGGCCGCUUCUCGGUGCGAAGCUUUCGAGAGCUGCCUCCUUGACUGAAGGAAGGGGACGCGUUAAUGAUUGUUGGGAAAGUGUUAGUCGGCGCCUUUGGCAGAAGCGGAGGAGCUGGAGCCGCGUUCGGAAAAGCGAGCUGGGACGCCCGACGCGCGCUCUUGAGGCUCCUUUGCAGGCAAGCGCGGCGGGCCGGCAUUUGGGAACUGCUCCUUGGGCCGAACAAAUCAGUAACACGGGGAGCUCGAGAAAGCGCGCGGGAAGGACUGGCGGCCCUCUCAGGCUGCCUGUUGAAGGAGGGAGCUGCAAUAAACCCAGAAGGUUUAGGGGAAGAGGAUUUUGUGGCGCCUUUUUUCAGAGCGCCCCUCGCCCCGCCGUUCGAGUUGGCGCGGGGAAACGCUGCUUUCUCUCCCACCCACCGGGAAGCAAGAGUAGGGACUUUGCGGUUACUACUCCGAGGAGGGAGGGAGAGAUUUAGGACUUUCUGACCGCGGCUGCAAAAGUCAGCUUCGAUCUCCGCAAGCAGCCAUUUCCAGCAAGCUCCGUGCCGCUGCUCGCCCAGUCCUUGGUUUCUCGGUUGAAUGUUGAUAAACGGAGAUGAACGCCGCCAAGCGUUUGCCCUUCGGCGCGGAGUUAGUUAAAGAUCGUCUUUAUUUUGCCAUUCUGUUCCAUAAACCAAAAAGCGGUAGUACAAGUACACACUAUUUCUGCAUAGAUGAUGAAUUUGUGUAUGAAAACUUCUAUGCAGAUUUUGGCCCUCUCAAUCUGGCAAUGAUUUACAGAUACUGUUGCAAGCUAAAUAAAAAAUUAAAGUCUUUUACCAUGUUAAGGAAGAAGAUUGUUCAUUAUUGUGGUUCGGAUCAGAAAAAGCAAGCCAAUGCAGCCUUCCUCAUAGGCUGUUACACAAUAAUAUACCUGAGAGAAUCUCCAGAAAGUGUGUACAGGCAUUUACUAUUUGGGAAUGUUUCAUAUCUUCCAUUCAGGGAUGCUGCAUUUGGUACCUGCACUUUUCAUCUAACUUUGCUUGACUGUUUCCAUGCCAUAAAUAAGGCAUUGCAGUAUGGCUUCCUUGAUUUUAAUACAUUUGAUGUAAAUGAAUAUGAGCAUUAUGAAAGGGCAGAAAAUGGAGACUUCAACUGGAUAAUACCCCAAAAAAUCAUGGCCUUCAGUGGACCUCACUCAAGAAGUAGAAUUGAAAAUGGGUAUCCACAUCAUGCUCCCGAAGCCUAUUUUCCAUACUUCAGAAGACAUAAUGUUACCACUGUAAUCCGCCUGAAUAAGAAGAUGUAUGACUCUAGAAGAUUUAAAGAUUCAGGGUUUGACCAUUAUGAUCUCUUCUUUGCUGAUGGAAGCAUACCCAAUGAUGCUAUCAUCAAAGCAUUUCUGAAUAUUUGUGAGAACGCUGAAGGUGCUAUAGCAGUUCAUUGCAAAGCUGGACUUGGCAGAACUGGUACACUUAUAGCAUGUUACAUUAUGAAGCAUUACAGGAUGACUGCUGCUGAAACUAUUGCCUGGAUUAGAAUUUGUAGACCUGGCUCUGUGAUUGGAACUCAACAACAUUUCUUGUUGGAGAAACAGCCAGAACUUUGGCUGGAAGGUGAUGUUUAUCGUUCAAAGCUAAAGAAGACUCAAAAGCUUGCAGUGACAAAAAUCCUUUCAGGAGUAGAUGACAUUUCAAUUAACGAUUCAAAAAAUCAGAAUGCCAGCAGAAAAGAUUCUGAACCGUACAGUGAUGAAGAAGAAACACACACAGUAACACAAGGGGACAAGCUCCGUGCCCUUAAAAGUAAAAGGCAGGCAAAAGCAUAUUCAGUUCCAUUAACAUGUCUCCUAGCUAUACUGGCCUCUGCUCUGAGUAGCAUUGUCAUCUGGUGGAUUGUGUGUGGCUCCCUUCUUCCCAACCUGCUAUUCUGUCUAGAUGGUUUAAGAACAUAGGUCCAUCAGAACCUCCCUUGGGAGAGCCACUGUGAGCUGAACCCAAGAGGACCCCCAGAUUGUGCACCAGGUCCAUCUGAGACAGUGCUACCACAUCCAAGACCAGCAGCUGCAGUUUGGCUUCCAAUCUUCUUUGGAGAGAGAAAGCACUCCUGCUGUGGACAACUGAUUGAAAAUAGGCAGAUCUGGUUUCACAAUACUUCUUUUUGGAAUGCAGAAGUUUUUCCCAUAGCGUUACAAGAAUGUUUCUGAAUAGGCAAAGCUCUCUGUAGGAGGAGGAGGGGGGUCAUCCUGGACCUUUUAUACAGGUUGUUUUUCUUCUGUGUAAUCAUCUCAGCUGAUUCCAUUAUACAGAAAACCACUAUUGCCGCCCAGAUGCCAAGAACAGUUUCCUUUACUCUUAGAAGGUAUAAUGGAGAUUGGAUUGUGUACUUUACCUCUGUUUUGGCCAGUUAGAAAUGUUCUAUGCCCCUUAGAUCAUCCUUCCAGACAGAUUUCCUCAGUGCCUUCAACAAUAGCAGAGUUUCUAAUGAAUUUGAAAAAUUCUUAAUUUUUUUCAGGAAGCUAUUUAGAGAUGUAUCUGUCUUGAAAAUGACCCAUGUUGAACUAUAUAACGUACUCAAACUUCCAGGAGUUGACCACAGUGGAAGUUUUAUGAAAUUUCUAUUAUAUUAUGAAAAGAUUAUCAUAAUUUUAUCUCAUAAAACAUUUUAUAAAAUUUGCCAAAUUUCAAUCCCAUGGGAGUCCUGGGUCGUGGGUUUCAGACACAUUCUGUAACUUAGCUCAUUUAAGCUAUCGUGCUUGAAAACAUUUUGCCGUAUAUGAUGCACCAUUUCACCCAUUUUAUUAUUUAAACAGACUUUUAAAUAGUACACUAGGUUACAGACUUGGACAUUGCCAUAUUUUUUCUAGCAAUAGUUUACCUGGAAUACCAAAUCAAGUAAGCAGCAGUCAACCAUGGUUUUAAAUGGGUUUACAGAACACUGUUUUAAAUAUAAAGGAGUUGAGAACUAGCACAAAAGCAAGUAACUUUGUGUUUGGAAAACUGUUGAAAAGUAAUUAUUUUUUGAGGCUUCUCUUCAUUUCAUCUACCCCUUACUGGUAUUCUCUCUCUCAUUUAAAACUAAAGAUUACCAUUUCAUUCUAUCUAGAAAUGAGAAAGAAUAGCCCUCCUCAUUUUAAAAUAUAGUUUAUAAAUGUAUGUGCUUAUAUCAUGCUAGUGCAAAAAGCUGUGAUAAUCCAAAGCAUCUAGGCAUUCUGAAAUUAUUCGUGUAGAUUCCCAUAAAGCAGAUAAAAAUGGAUAAAGCAUGGAAACAUAGGCACUGAAUGGGUAUCAUCACAAAGACAUUCCAUAUAUUAUUGAUUGAGCACUGUGUCAAGCAACACUAAAGUCCCUAGAAAAACCUGGUGCAUUUCUUUCAAAGCAGAUAGUUGCCUUCUCUCCUGCCCAAACUAAUUUAUCAGUUUAUUCAUGGAUAAUCUUGAAUGUUUUCCAAUGCUUAGGAAAAGAGGUCACCCUUUUUGAAAGGGAAAUGCUGUGUUAGGAUAAGAUAGUCUGGUUGAUGUCAACCUAGAUAUUCUAUUAUCAUUAGAGAUAGAUUAAUGUAAUAAAGCACUUUAUAGAUACAGUAUGAUUGCUGUAGGGGGUUAUUCAUAAAUAGUACUAAUGUAAGACAAAGCUCUCAGAUGUAUAUAGAUAUAUCAGUCGGCUUUAAAACUGGAAUCUUAAGCUCAUGGAACAUAAUUUUCAAGAGUAUUUAAAUAACUCCCUCCCCUCUUUCUCUUGAAAUUGGCUGGAACCCUAUACUACAAAUGAAAGAGUCAUCCCUUGUUGCUUCAGUUAGCACUUUAGGGAACGAGAUAUUAUGUUGAGACGAUGAGUGGAGAGAGGAUGGAUUUUAAGAGACUUGAAGAAUAGGAGCGAAAACACACUACCCCUAAGCCAAGGACGAGAAGUGUGCUGCGUUGAACAAUGAAAAUUCAAAAGAAUGCAGAGAGAGAAAAAGAGACAUUGUUUUCAAUUAAAACAUUGAAGAUUGAUUUUUUUCUUUUAAAAAGUCUAUUUUAGCUCUUAUACAAGAGUGUUAAUUUAUUAUCACUACAACAAUGAUUUUUUUACUGCUUUAAUAAUGGCCUGUAAAUUUUAGCCUUUUGUCUAAUAUCUCUUUUAUCAAGAGAACUUUUUUUUGUACAAUGCUUAGGGAUAAAAUGUGAUGGCAAUCAUUUAAUCUGUCCAACAACUGAUAGGGGGAGUGCAUAUAUUAUUUGUUCAAUGUAUAAAUUUUCAUCCAAAAAUGGUUUUCUCUUAUGAUGGAAACGGAGAAAUUGGGAAAGCGUACUCUUCUUCCUUUCAUUCCCCCAAUAAUAUGAUUGCUCUUUGCAUACAUUACCUAUCCUAAUUGUAUUAGGACUUUUAUCAUAUAUUUCUAAAUUACUAUCCACCAAAGAGUGCUUUAUUUUCAUAGAUUUAGUUCCUAGUCUUGCAAAUUAUACCACUGCCUAAAGUGUUACUUACUACUUUUAAUUAACAGAAACAGCUGGGAAGAAUUGUAACAAAUUAUGUGCUGUUGGAAUAUCACAGUUUUAAUUGUUGAACUGCUAAUGAAUUAAAACCUGUUGUACAGUUACUUCAGAUUAUAAUUGGACAAAAUGCACUAGAAAAAUAUGGCUUUUCAAAUGUUCUCUAUGUAGUUUUACAUUUAUCCCUUUCUCAUUAAAAGGAAUGCUAACACUGCUUACAAAUUGGCUCUCCUUACCCUGAGAUCCUGUUCUCAGACACCAUUCCUUUCUAGCAUUAAAUAUUACAUGGUAGUGAUUCUACUAAUAGUCGUGCAUUCAUUUUUGCUCAGUCUGCAGAAAUAGGUGGUUGAAUUUGUUCUGUAUGCAAAAUUAGUGGCAUAUCAAUGUUGUGAUUCCAAUGACAUGUCAAUAGAUUGGAUAGGAAAAGAGUUUAAUUUGCCAUUUCUCCAUGUCAUUAAAAUUCAAAGUUUAUAAUUACAGAUAGUCUCGAUUUACGACCACAAUUCAGCCCAAAUUUUCUGUUGCUAAGUGAAACUAUUGUUAAGUGAGUUUUGCCCCAUUGUACGACUUUUCUUGCCAUGAUUGUUAAAUGAAUCUGGCUUCCCCAUUGACUUCGCUUAUCAGAAGGUCACAAAAGGUGGUCACACAUGACCAUGGGACACUGCAACCAUCAUAAAUAUGAACCAGUUGCCAACUGGCCAAAUUUUGAUCAAGUAACCAUGGGGAUGUGGCAAUGGUCAUAAAUCACUUUUUUCAGUGUCGUCGUAAGUUUGAAUGGUCACUAAAUGGUUGUAAAUUGAGGACUACCUGUAUUCACCUUUCAGUGCAGAAGCAGCAGUAGAUCUGUACUGAAAUCUAAAGAAAGACAGUGGACUAUAAUUAUUAACAUUGUUCGUCUUCAAAAGCUAAGCAAUAAUUGUUAUAACUAUUCUCUUGUCUCAUUUGGACUUCAAAGUCCUUGCAAGGAAAAAUUAGUUAUGGAUAAUGCAGGUCAUCCUGAUGUUGGGUUGUGACUCUUGUUAGCCCUAGCCAACAUGAUUGAAGUUAAGAUUUGUUGUCCAAUAUCUGUAAGGAUAAGGGGUGCCUAUCUCCGGUACAGAGGCUUUGCUGUACUGUAACCUACUCUAUAUUUCUCUAGUAAAGAAUAAUACGUUUUUUAAAAAAUGCUUUCUGGACCUGAAGCUCAAAAUAUCUGUAGCUAAUCAUACCAGUAAGAAUGUUGGGAGUCUGUCUUGAACAGCUGCCUUGUAGGAGUAAGGUUAAAUUUUAGGAACGUGGCUUUGCUUAAAAAAAUCUCAUAGCAUUAGUAUUAAAGAGACCUGCGUCAUGUUUUAGGCUGAUUAGUCAUUUUGAUAUUCAAGGCUACUUUAACAGAUUUAUAUUCUUAAGUCUCUUAUUGAAUCCAACAGCCACUUCAUGAUGAUUUGUCUACAACUUGGCUCUUCAGAAAUUUUAUUGAGCCAUUCAUUUCCAUUGAAGAAGACCCUUUAUCUAUUUUUCUGAUGAUUGUUGUCCUUUUCUCUUUCCCCAGCAUUAUAAACUUCUCAAGAUGACAAAGUCUUAGCAUAAUGUAUCCAAAAUAUGAUUUAAGUGUAGUCACUUCUGCUUCAAUUGAAAUUUCUGGAUUUAUUUUCUCUAUGAACCAUUUAUUUGUUUUCUUGACUAUCUAGGACAUUCUCAGGAAUUUUCCACCACCAAAAUUCACAAGGAUCAGUGCCCUUUUUAUCCUGUUUUUUUUCAAGGUCCAAUGUCUGCUUCCAUAGAGUGUCAAGGCCUACAUGAUCUGAGCUUUGUAAGCGUAGACACAGCAUCUGUUUUUCAUAAGGACUUCAUUGUUACUCUACCAAGUACUGUGUGCGAUGUAUUUCUCAACAGUUUGUUCCCUUAUUAUUGUCUAUCCUAAAAAGCAAAAGCUAUUCACCAUUUCAUUGCCUAUAUUCAUUGUCAAGUUAAGGCUGUUUGUUCCAUCUGUUGUCAUUAGUUUAGUCUUCUUUAGUCUUAUACCUUUCCACUGUGCUCAUUAAGUUUCAUUACUAGAAUUCUCAGAUCAUUUGCAUUUUCAGCAGAGGGCAAGUUAUUGGCAUUUCUUUUUCCAGUUUUAAAACCACACUCAUCUUUUUCCAAUCCAGCCUCCCUUAUUCAACUUGUGGGUUGAAUAAAUGAGAAGAGAGUACACACCUUUGUCUGACUCUAGUACCAGCCGGUUUCAUCAUAUUAUUUCCGGUUUCAUCAUAUUAUUUCAUACUUGGCUUCCUAUUCCAUGAACAGAUAGUCCUCGAGGUAUGACCACAAUUGAGCCAAAAUUUAUAUUGCUAAGUGAAACAUUUAUUAGUGAAUUUGCCCCAUUUUAUGACUUUUCUUGCUAUGGUUGUUAAGUGAAUCAUUGCAUUUGUUAAGUUAGUAACAUGACUGUUAAGUGAUUCUGGCUUCCCCCAUUGACUCUGCGUUUCAGAAGGUCGCAAAAGGGGAUCACAUGACCCCAGGACAUUGCAACCGCCAUAAAUAUAAACCAGUUGCCAAGUAUUUGAAUUUUGAUCACAUGACCACGGGGAUGCUGCAAUGGUUUCAAGUGUGAAAAAUGGUUAUAUAAGUCACUUUUUUCAGUGCUGUUGUAACUUUGAAUGGUCACUAAAUGAACUGUUGUAUAUGCUUCAUACAAGAACAUUGAGGUAUUCUAGGAUUCCCUAUUUACUAAGACCAUUCUAUAUGUUAAGAUGGUUGACACAAUUGAAGAACUUUUUAUAAUCAAUGAAAUGUAUAUUAACAUUUUUAUGUUCUAUAAGUUUCUGAAUUACCUUGAGGAUACCGACAACAAUGUCCUUUGGUUUUUAGAUUUUUCUAAAAUCCACUUGAACAUCUGUUAUUUCUCUCUCCACAUAGAGUUGUAAUUUGUGCUGGAAGGUCCUAACAAUACUGUAUGACAGGUUUGUAGACUCUGUUAAGUCUACUCAUGACCAAUCUGUUGCCCAAUAAUGUCAUUCUCCAAAUUUGUGGCACAGUUUGAUUAGAAUCUUGAUUUAUUCUUCUAUUGCUUACCUUACUUCUAUAAAUAUUCCAUCAGUUCUGGUAGCCUUCCAACUUAAUAGUGUCUGGAAUGUUAAUCUAACUUCAUCUGAUUUUUGUAAAUAAGAUAUGUCUCUAAAGUAUCAUGGAUAUCAUCUCUACUGGAUUAUGUGAUACCCCUCCUGUGCAAGCUGCAUUGGCUCCCGGUGGUCUUCCGGGUGCGCUUCAAGGUGUUGGUUACCACAUUUAAAGCGCUCCAUGGCUUAGGGCCUCGGUACUUACGGGACCACUUUCUGCCACCGAUAGCUCCCACUGGCCAGUACGCUCCCACAGAGAGGGACUCCUCAGGGUGCCGUCGGCCAGACAAUGUCGGCUGGCAACCCCCAGGGGAAGGGCCUUCUCUGUGGCAGCACCUGUCCUCUGGAACAACCCUGGAGAUACGUAGGAUCCCAGAUCUCCGUGCUUUUCGCCGUGCCCUUAAAACUUUAUUUCAUCAAGCCGGGCUGGUUUGACACCCCCCCUUAGAUAUUUUUAAUUGUUAAUUUGAUUUUAGUUGAGGUGUUUUAAAUUAUUGGGCCAAAAUUUGUUUAAUUAUUUAAAAAAAUUUAAAUUUUGUAUGCGAUGUUUUUAUUCUUGGCUGUUCACCACCCUGAGUCCUGUGGGAGAAGGGCAGUAUAAAAAUCUAAUAAAAUAAAUAAAUAAAUACAUACAUACAUACAUACAUACAUACAUACAUACAUACAUACAUACAUACUGUACAGAAUUUCAGUAUACUACUUCCAGCUUUCUAUGAUCUUUUUUUAUAUUAAUUACUAUCCCUUGGCAUCUUUUAGCAUCCCAGAUUGGAUCUUCCUUUUGAAUUAAGAGAUCUUUUGGAAGAUCUCCUUGCUUUUCCUUGUCUGUGUCUAUUGUUAUAAUAUUGCUUGUCUCUUCUAACAGCUGUCCGAAAUUUGUUUAGUUCUUCCUGAGUUUUCUAUUUUUGGUUUUUUCUCUUGGCAGUUUCUGCUAUUUGUUCUGACAUCCGGUAUAGUUUCUUCUAUUUUAUGAUUUUUGACAGUCUCUUUUCACAUUCAUUCUUAACAACUUCCCUCUGGUGCCUUAUCAAUGAGGUUCAAAACUUCAAAGCAAUUCUGAUGAUCUUGAAAAUGGUGAGUAUAUGCUCAAGAUUGUAUUGUGGAAACUGGUCAGUUUUCUUCCACUUUAGCUUGACUGGAAACUUGCACAUGAGCUGCUUGUUAUCAGUUCCAUAGAUAUCCUGACCAUGAUUUUGCUAUUCUCACUUGGCUCUUCCACCAUCUUGCACUAGUAACUUAGUCAAAUUGAUUUCUAGGUACUUCAUCUGAUAAUGUCCAUGUAAACCGGCAUUGUUUUGAUUAUUGGAAAAAUGUGUUAGCUUGAAGAUGUUAAUUAGAUAGGCACAAAUAAUAUAUUUUUCUUAUUAAUUUCAGUGUUCUAAACUAUACAGUCCUGCUGUAUUAGGUAUUCCUCCUUAAUGGUGGGGAAACUGAUUGACUUUGUUGUUGCCUAACUCUCCCCAAAAUAAAUGAGCUGUAUACAAACUGCUUAGUUUCAGUUUGACAUUCAGGUGAACUUAAAACCUCAUUAUGAACUCAUUGUAUUUUUUAUGGGCUAUAGUUAUUUAUUUGCUUUCUUUGCUGAUUUUUUUAAAAAAGAAUCCCAACACAAAUCAAUAUUGCUCAUAACACUUUUUAAUAAGCAAAGUUAGAUAAUUCUGUGCAUUCUCAUAUGAAAUUACUUCAAUAUUUUGUGUUUAUUUUUUAAGGAUUUAUGUUGCUUACACCUCAGCUUUUGCCAUUCAGUUGAAUAGUUCACCAUUUACUUAGCAGUUGUAUUAUAGACAAAGAGUUCUUCAUUUAUAUUUAUUGGAAUAUGAACAGUUUUCGAUUGGUUUAAUCUUCUGCUCUACUUUAUCCACCAUGAAACUGAAUGCCACAUGGGUUACAGGUAGUUUUUGAUUUACAACUGUUCAUUCAGUGACUGUUUAUAAAAGUAUGAUGGCGUUAAAUGGACAACCUCCUGUCUGAACUUAUACCACUGCAGCAUCAUGUAGUUGUGAUCUGAACUUUUGUAAUCCGUUUAAGAUUGCCAAACUUUCUGUGAUCAUGUGAUUGCCAUUUGCAGUCUUCCAUCCCAGCUUCCUCAGAAAGUCAACAAGGAAACUGGCAGGGAAGGUUGCUGCCACAGGACUCACUCUGCUUCCUAGGGGGGGUGACUGAAAAAGGUCCAUGAGCACCCACUUUGGGGCAGCCCAUUUCCAUUCUCCAAUGGAAAUAGUAGAAGGGCCAUCGGCCAGAUUGAUUUUGCUCCCAGUGAGGCGGAGCCCCUCGGCAAAGCAGUUCUGCUCUGAGGCUGGAAAGAUCCAUGGCAAAAACCAACAGGGGUUCCCAACAGUUCAUGCUUCAAGACCCUCCUGUGAAAAUACUCUCAAAGAUGGUUGGAAAAAGCCCUUCUCCCCUUUCAGAAAUAACACAUUUGCUGGCUUUCUAGCCAGAAGGCCAGCAAAUUCAGUGUUUCUAAAGGCUGGCUGGGAGAGCCAGGAUAACAGUUGUUGAGCAAAGCAGUCACAUGGGGGCCUCACUCAACAACCAUCAGGACUUGCGAUUAUAAUGGGCUGUCUCCAUUACAGUUGUAUGUCAAGGACUAUAUACUGAAGGACUUGCUCACAUAUUCUCUUAGCAAUUAGUUUUGAUUAGCUUUAUAAAUUGCAAUCAACACGUUCUAAGAUCAAGCUGAUACCAAUAUUGUCAGAUGUAUUUCUGUAUUCAUGUUAUUUUAACUAAUAAUGUAGCUACUGGCUUUAUUCUCUAUAAUAUAUCCUACCUUAGAAUGUUUCCUGUAUCUGUAGGAGAAUUUUCAAGGUGGAGUGAUUUAAAUCAGCUAAAUUAGUUAACAAACCCGUGUAAUAUUUUUAACCACACAUUACUAAAAAUAGCUCCCAUCUAUGUACUACUAUUUUCAAUAUCGAAUUAGCCUCAUUGUUCAACAUUUGAAAUCCCAUUUUUUAUUUGUCCUGCAUCCUAACAUUCAAGCUUCAAAAAUCAGAGCACUGCAUAUUUUGUGUGCCUGAUAAAGUUUAAACAGACAUUUCGUACAUUAACUGAGGUGGCUGUCGCUUUCAUUAGUGCUGGUAAACUAAUUCUACCACUAGUUUGUUUCAUGACAGACAAAAGGAUCACUUACCUAUAUCCCAGUUAUUCAUUAAGUCUUCCCCUUAAUAGCCAACACCCAUUCCUAAUUUUGUAACCUGAUUAUUUCUAGCCAUCUCAUAAAAUCAUGCAGCUUUAUAGUCCGUAUAGAAAAUAUUUCGGUUGCCAGAGAUUUGUGAUUACCUGCUAAGUGCCAUUUACCAUCUUAUUCCUGAUAGGAUUAUGCUUGAACCUUAGAUUAAGAUUAAAAGGUUCUUGAUAAAAUAUACUUAUUACUUGGGAGUAUAUGUACAUGUUUCUACCUCCCUUGAUUUUGGUUACAUAAGCGUCAAGCAACUCAGAAUGCCCUAAUUAGCAUGGAGGAAAUCUUUGCUUAGAUAUUUUGAUUCAGAAGCUUUACUAAUUAAUAUCAACGGAAAGUACUUGUUACUUGUGCACAAAAGUGCAACACUGCUAUUUUAGACAUGAGAACUAAGAUUCCUUGACUGUGGAACCACUGACUGUGUUAUUAAUGCUAUAAACACAAAUCAACCAUGGAAAGCCACUUUUAAAUGGUCACAAUCAUGUUGAGCCAGUCUCCAUAGAAUAUCAUUUUUUCGUAGAAAGGCAUAGUAUAAAGUUAAAUAGCUUAAAUCAUCUUUUUUAGAUUUAGUACUAGGUACUACCCUGUUUCUCCCAAAAUAAGACAUCCCCUGAUAAUAAGCCCAAUCGGGCUUUUGAGCACAUGGCAAUAAGACCAAGCGCUUAUUUCAGGGUUCAAAAAAAUAUAAGACAGGGUCUUAUUUUUAGGGAAACACGGUAGAAACGGUACUAGAAGCAGUACUAGUAUCUGACCAGAAAAAAUACUCCAUAUUUAGGUGUCUUACGUAGUCAAAAGAUAGGUUUAAUUCUUUUAGGCUUGAAAACCAAAGAAGGCUCCCAGUUUUUAAGUUAUCUUUGUUAUGAUUAAGCAAACUAAAUAGUCUGAAAGAUAAAUUUACAUUCUCAUGUGGAACUAUUACGAUUCCAUAUUGGUUAGCACAAUUUAUUUUCUAUCGCUUUAAAGUUAUAUCCAAAUAUUCAUUGCUAUGUUGACAGCUAUGCUGCGUAAAAGCUUAAAACCUUCAGAGUUGCUACUUGUAGGUCCCAAUUACAAACUUUAGGGGAUUUUUUUAAUGUAUUGUCUUCAAAACUUGUACAAUUUGUUCAAACUAUGUGGUAUAAUCAAUAUUCCUCAGAUCAAAUUAUUUUGUUAAUGUAUUUCAGGGUUAACUUGACUGUUUAAAUUUUAAUUUGAUAGUAUGUAUUUUUUCAUCAGUGUAAUUGACUUAUAUAAAUCUUGAGUAACGUGUAAGAGAAAAGUGUACAAAUAAAAUCUAUUGUUUAUGUGA